rnacentral:rRNA from 1 species
UACAGAGGUCUCAAGCGUUGUUCGGAUUCAUUGGGCGUAAAGGGUGCGUAGGUGGCGCCGUAAGUCGGGUGUGAAAUUUCGGAGCUUAACUCCGAAACUGCAUUCGAUACUGCGGUGCUUGAGGACUGGAGAGGAGACUGGAAUUCAUGGUGUAGCAGUGAAAUGCGUAGAGAUCAUGAGGAAGACCAGUGGCGAAGGCGGGUCUCUGGACAGUAACUGACGCUGAGGCACGAAGGCCAGGGGAGCAAACGGG